rnacentral:rRNA from 1 species
AGUGAACGCUGGCGGUAGGCCUAACACAUGCAAGUCGAACGGCAGCACAGUAAGAGCUUGCUCUUACGGGUGGCGAGUGGCGGACGGGUGAGGAAUACAUCGGAAUCUACUUUUUCGUGGGGGAUAACGUAGGGAAACUUACGCUAAUACCGCAUACGACCUACGGUUGAAAGCAGGGGAUCUUCUGACCUUGCGCGAUUGAAUGAGCCGAUGUCGGAUUAGCUAGUUGGCGGGGUAAAGGCCCACCAAGGCGACGAUCCGUAGCUGGUCUGAGAGGAUGAUCAGCCACACUGGAACUGAGACACGGACAAGACUACUACGGGAGGCAGCAGUGGGGAAUAUUGGACAAUGGGCGAAAGCCUGAUCCAGCCAUACCGCGUGGGUGAAGAAGGCCUUCGGGUUGUAAAGCCCUUUUGUUGGGAAAGAAAAGAAGCAGGUUAAUACCCCGCUGUUCCGACGGUACCCAAAGAAUAAGCACCGGCUAACUUCGUG